CGGGUCUAAUACCGGAUACGACCUUUCACCGCAUGGUGGUUGGUGGAAAGAUUUUUUGGUUUUGGAUGGACUCGCGGCCUAUCAGCUUGUUGGUGAGGUAAUGGCUCACCAAGGCGACGACGGGUAGCCGGCCUGAGAGGGUGACCGGCCACACUGGGACUGAGACACGGCCCAGACUCCUACGGGAGGCAGCAGUGGGGAAUAUUGCACAAUGGGCGAAAGCCUGAUGCAGCGACGCCGCGUGAGGGAUGACGGCCUUCGGGUUGUAAACCUCUUUCAGCAGGGAAGAAGCGAAAGUGACGGUACCUGCAGAAGAAGCGCCGGCUAACUACGUGCCAGCAGCCGCGGUAAUACGUAGGGCGCAAGCGUUGUCCGGAAUUAUUGGGCGUAAAGAGCUCGUAGGCGGUUUGUCGCGUCUGCUGUGAAAGCCCGGGGCUCAACCCCGGGUCUGCAGUGGGUACGGGCAGACUAGAGUGCAGUAGGGGAGACUGGAAUUCCUGGUGUAGCGGUGAAAUGCGCAGAUAUCAGGAGGAACACCGAUGGC
rnacentral:rRNA from 1 species